CUUUGCCUGACAAUUUGUUGUAGAACUACAACAAGGGCAAACACGUGCGUUGUACAGGAAACCACACCUUCUUGGCAAAAAUUGGUAUUGAAUAAUAUUAGUGGUAAAAUAGAAACCAUAGGAAAGAAUAGAAAUGUGAAACAAUGCUUUGUCGGCACUUUGAUGUAAUUGCUAUUCAACACUUUUUUUUUUUUGCAAAAAGUUGACUAUUUGUUGAUCAUAUUGUAAAGGCAAUGAAA